rnacentral:rRNA from 1 species
GACGAACGCUGGCGGCGUGCUUAACACAUGCAAGUCGAACGGUGAAGCACCAGCUUGCUGGUGUGGAGCAGUGGCGAACGGGUGAGUAACACGUGAGCAACCUGCCCCUGACUCUGGAAUAAGCGCUGGAAACGGCGUCUAAUACUGGAUACGAGAAGGGUCCGCAUGGGCACUUUCUGGAAAGUUUUUCGGUUGGGGAUGGGCGCGCGGCCUAUCAGCUUGUUGGUGAGGUAAUGGCUGACCAAGGCGGCGACGGGUAGCCGGCCUGAGAGGGCGACCGGCCACACUGGUACUGAGACACGGCCCAGACUCCUACGGGAGGCAGCAGUGGGGAAUAUUGCACAAUGGGCGCAAGCCUGAUGCAGCGACGCCGCGUUAGUGAUGACGGCCUUCGGGUUGUAAACCUCUUUCAGCAGGGAAGAAGCGAUAGUGACGGUACCUGCAGAAGAAGCACCGGCUAACUACGUG